CCUACGGGGGGCAGCAGUGGGGAAUAUUGGACAAUGGGGGCAACCCUGAUCCAGCCAUGCCGCGUGUGUGAAGAAGGCCCUCGGGUUGUAAAGCACUUUCAGUGAGGAAGAACGCCUGGUGGUUAAUACCCAUCAGGAAAGACAUCACUCACAGAAGAAGCACCGGCUAACUCCGUGCCAGCAGCCGCGGUAAUGCGGAGGGUGCGAGCGUUAAUCGGAAUUACUGGGCGUAAAGCGCGCGUAGGUGGCUUGAUAAGCCGGUUGUGAAAGCCCCGGGCUCAACCUGGGAACGGCAUCCGGAACUGUCAAGCUAGAGUGCAGGAGAGGAAGGUAGAAUUCCCGGUGUAGCGGUGAAAUGCGUAGAGAUCGGGAGGAAUACCAGUGGCGAAGGCGGCCUUCUGGACUGACACUGACACUGAGGUGCGAAAGCGUGGGUAGCAAACAGGAUUAGAUACCCCUGUAGUC
rnacentral:rRNA from 1 species